GAGGACCGUAGGUGAACCUGCGGAAGGAUCAUUAACACAAAAAUCCGAACCUAACCUUACUUCUGGAGCGGAGUCUCUUAGCAAUAGGAGACUUCGACUUCUUUUUUUGAACCUUUAUGUCAAUCGACAUGAUCAAGUUUUCUUAAAACAAAAAAUAAGAAAAUUUUCAACGAUGGAUAUCUUGGUUCCCAUAACGAUGAAGAACGCAGCGAAAUGCGAUACGCAAUGCGAAUUGCAGAAUUCCGCGAGUCAUCAGAUCUUUGAACGCAGCCGGCGCUGGCGGGAUAUCCCACCAGCAUGUUUGUUUCAGUGUGUUUGGUUGACUUCACACAACUCAAUGCGAUUGAGGUCUUUCUCGUAAAGGUCUCUCUCGUGAAAGAGGGAAGCUUGCGGCUGAGCCCGCCAAUGGAGUGGUCACUGUUCAACAGUGAUUUCAUUGGAGUCACAGGUUCAGCCUUGAAAUGCAUAGCUUUUUUUAUUUACAACUCUUCAAUCAGCACCUGAAAUCAAGCAAGAUCACCCGCUGAACUUAAGCAUAUCAAUAAGCGGAGGAA
rnacentral:rRNA from 1 species